GAUGAACGCUGGCGGCGUGCCUAAUACAUGCAAGUCGAGCGAACAGACGAGGAGCUUGCUCCCUCGACGUUAGCGGCGGACGGGUGAGUAACACGUAGGUAACCUACCUAUAAGACUGGGAUAACUUCGGGAAACCGGAGCUAAUACCGGAUAAUAUUUCGAACCGCAUGGUUCGAUAGUGAAAGAUGGCUUUGCUAUCACUUAUAGAUGGACCUGCGCCGUAUUAGCUAGUUGGUAAGGUAACGGCUUACCAAGGCAACGAUACGUAGCCGACCUGAGAGGGUGAUCGGCCACACUGGAACUGAGACACGGUCCAGACUCCUACGGGAGGCAGCAGUAGGGAAUCUUCCGCAAUGGGCGAAAGCCUGACGGAGCAACGCCGCGUGAGUGAUGAAGGUCUUCGGAUCGUAAAACUCUGUUAUUAGGGAAGAACAAACGUGUAAGUAACUGUGCACGUCUUGACGGUACCUAAUCAGAAAGCCACGGCUAACUACGUG
rnacentral:rRNA from 1 species